GGCUGGCUAAACCCCAAGGCGAAACGAAAGUAAACACUUUCAUUGGGCUGAUCCGUUUCGAGGUGCGCGACUCGGGGUUAGCGGUGUCGUUCGUCGCCGUCUGGUCGAUAUCCUAGUGAAGUUGAAGGCGGAUGUUCGGCGGCACUGCGCUCUGUACUCUCCCCUCGAUUUACCGCCUCUAUGCGGACGGCGCAAGCCCGGGGCUCGCAAUCGCCUUUUCUCCGUCGCUAAGGCUUAUCCGUUCGACUCGUGGCUCCCCAGCCAUUAGUCAGCGGGUGUCACGGGGAGGCUCUGCCGGAUGCGCUUCCCCUUUGCCGCGAAGCCGUUGUUCAGGCGGUCGCUGCUGCUGCUGCUGCUGCUGGCSGMCGCUGCUGCUGCUGCUGCUUCCGUACGCCAUCGCCGGAUCGGUACACGACGAUCUGAUUGUUCUAGUAGUAGUAGUACGUGGUUGCUGUAGUAGUAGUAGUAGUAGAGGUCGUCGAAAGCGGUGGCUUUGAACGGGGCGUAUUCGUCGCAUCCUCCUCUGAUCCCGUUUGGCGUAGAGAGCAAAUGGGGGGAGUUCGCUGUAGGAGGCGGUUCGCUGGCGUGAGACUGGCGGCGGGUACCUUGAGCGCACAUACCAGGACCCGAAAGAUGGUGAUCUAUGCGUGGCGAGGAUGAAGCCAGGGGAAACCCUGGUGGAAGUCCGUAGCGAUUCUGACGUGCAAAUCGAU
rnacentral:rRNA from 1 species